rnacentral:rRNA from 1 species
UACGUAGGGUGCAAGCGUUAAUCGGAAUUACUGGGCGUAAAGCGUGCGCAGGCGGUUUUGUAAGUCUGUCGUGAAAGCCCCGGGCUCAACCUGGGAAUUGCGAUGGAGACUGCAAGGCUUGAAUCUGGCAGAGGGGGGUAGAAUUCCACGAGUAGCAGUGAAAUGCGUAGAGAUGUGGAGGAACACCGAUGGCGAAGGCAGCCCCCUGGGUCAAGAUUGACGCUCAUGCACGAAAGCGUGGGGAGCAAACAGG